rnacentral:rRNA from 1 species
ACUUUGCAAUGCGGGAAACCGUGACAAGGGAACUCUGAGUGCCCGUUAAAUCGGGCUGUCCAUCGGUUUAAAUAACCGGUGAAGAAAGGGCCGGGCAAGACCGGUGCCAGCCGCCGCGGUAAUACCGGCGGCUCGAGUGGUGGCCACUAUUACUGGGCUUAAAGCGUUCGUAGCUGGUUUGUUAAGUCUCUGGGGAAAUCUUCCGGCUUAACCGGAAGGCGUCUCAGGGAUACUGGCAGACUAGGGACCAGGAGAGGUGAGAGGUACUCCAGSGGUAGGA